GCUUAUGUAAACAUAGCCUGUGUAGUUUGUAGAACCAUACAAAACAUUACUUUUUUGUGUGUCUCGUCAAAAAUUCAGAACUGUAAUUGCAUCCUAAUAUUUUCUACUCUGGAAACAUCUGAACAUACUGCUCCAGAGACUUAUCUGCCCUAGUUUCCUCCACCAAUCAUUGAAGGAUUAUCUCAAAUUGUUGCACCUGAAUAACGAAACACCAGCAUAGCAUGUGUGCUGCAGCUCAUUCAUGAUGGCUGUGUCUGUCUACCUUUUAAGGCUGCAGUUAUGGCUAUGCUGUGUGUACAGCGUCUCACUGUGGAGCCCCAGUACUACAGAGCUGCACAUUAUCCCAGCCAGCAUGACCAGGUCCACAGUUCCUCAGCCUGGAGUAGCACUUUUCCUGCUGACCUCCGGUCAAAAAGUGCUCCAGUAGAUUUCCGCUUAACUAUACCCUUCCAACGCCUCUCAAGUCCACCGACAACCUCUACCAGUAGUCCUGGCUCUAAUCAGAAAGGCGGCACCCCUUGUGCUGGUCCUGCUCAGGGGGGCCCAGACCCAAACCAAGAUUAGUCUGCCCCCAAUGGCUCUGACACCCAGAGAGAAGUUUCCCAUAGCCCCAUUGGAAAGAUCCAAGGUGUAAAGUUGUUUUUUAUCCCAGAUAAGAUGGAGCUAACGGAUUUGACCAAACCUCAAACUGGAAAGACCAGCUGUGCCAUUUACCCUAUUCCCUUAGCCAUUGGUCCCCCCCCCAGUAUGAGACAAAUCGCAGUGGCUAUUACUCGCAUACCACAUCUUUCCCCAUGUAUUAUUCAAACCCAACUUCUUCAGUUUACCCUGUUCCAAUGUGGUAUGGUCCCACUCAGGAUGUUGAGGUUCCCAAUGGUUAUAACCCAGGUCAGGUAAAGCCUCCCACUAACUUUGGCAAAGGACCAUUUCUCCCAAACCAAUCACUGCAGCUGGUCCUGCACCAGUUGGCUCAAGUACCCCCUCAGCCUGGAAAUGUUCCUAGUGGACAUUACCAAGGUCUGAAGAACCCCACUACUACCCAAUUUGGGACACCCUAGACUGGAGGAGGACAGGCUGAUAAGAAAUCCUCUCCUGUCCAGACAGGAAAUAAACCUGAUUCCUCCAGAAUGGAAAGCUCUCAAAACCUGCACUCCAGCAAUAUAACCCCAGCUGUGACCCUCCUUAUAGUGUAGGUCAGUAUAAAUAUAAACCCCCAACUCCAAUCAAACCUGACCCUGUGCCCACCAAUGUUGGCUAUGGCCAAAAUGGAGGAGCUCUUAGUGGUUACUACUACCCGGGUCAGGAAAACCUCUCCCCAGGUUAUUUUGGCAAAAGACUGACUGAACAAACUAUGCCUCCAAAACCUACUGUUGACCCUGUACCCAAUACCUCUGAUCCUAUCCACUAUGGAAACUAUUUUCUAGUUCAAACUAAACCUUCCAUCUCAAAUUCAGGAAUAAGCCAGGCUGGUAAGAAACCUUCAGUCCAGAAAGGUAGUGAACUUGGUCCACCAAGCCCCCAAAUAAGACCUGUCCCCCCCAGAAUUAUACCCAAGAUAUGGCUCUCCUUACAGUGUGGAUAGCCACAAGUAGGAACUCUCAGCCACCUUUUCACAGCACUUGGACCACAAACCUGCUUUGGAAGUCAACAUGUUUGCACCUUUUCACAGUGGAUUAAACCCGAAUGCAGCCAACCAGUUCGCCCAGAUUACCAGUGAUUCAAGCAUGGAGGCUGAGAGUGGUGAAGAGCCUAGUCCUGUCCAACCCACUCCUGAAUCAGAUGAAGGUGCAGGUCCCAGAGGAUUUAUGCCACAAAUACUUCCUCAGAGAAACUACGCCCAUUCCUAGAGUGGAGGCUCCCGUGGUGAUGUCGUUCCAGGAAGACCUGAAUUCAGGAUGACUUAAGUGCAGGCUCGGUGAUCUCCUGACCAUGGACUUCAAUUCUCUACAGCACUUUGAUUACUAAUAAAUAAUUCAAUAUUUCA